UUUGGUUAAAGAAAUGGCAAUGUCUAACAUUAGAGACGAUUCUAUAGAUGCCUCACAAGAAGAAGAGGUUAAAGAAAAUGACCAGGUAAAGAUUCCUGAUAAAAAUGAAGAACGCCAAUUAACAGGAAUGGCAGAAAAUCAAUCAGAGGAAGUAAAGGAAAUAUGGGAAGUAAAAAGCAAGUAGAAAAGAAAGCAGAGGAACAACAUGAAGACAAACAAGUAGAUCAAAUAGAAAAAGAAGAACAAGAAAGUGAUGAAAAAGUCGAAUUAGGUAAUGGCAAAUUUAAAGAUGAGUCAUACUACAUAGAGGAUGAUGAAGAAGAUGUAAAGAAGGAUGGUGUGGGAAAAGAUGCAGAGCCAAGAAGAAAUGGAGUGGAAUGGGAGGAUGGAAAAGAUCUUGAAGUAGAGAUUGAGGCGCAGGAGAAGGUCAGUGGAGUAACAUCUAUGGCUACGCCACAAAGCAUCCUUAAUAUAGACUCUUUAAUUAGAGAGGGUCACUUACAUGUGGGGCAGGAGCAGCAAAACAUAGGCUUGGAACAGAUGUCUGAUGAACCAGUAAGUGAAAUGCACUCCAUUGGUGAAGAAGUAGAGAUUUUCUGUGGAACUGAUUCAUCACAGCAAGCUCUGGCACAAAACAAUGAUCGAGUUGAAAAAGUAGAAAACAAUUCAGAAUUCGUUGACCGAGACGAAGACGUGUGCCGCCAAAUUGACAAAGAGCAUGUGGCAGUAGAUGCUAUUGGUGAGGUUGACGCAGUACUGGAGAAGCAAGAGAGGGACUGCUUAAACGAGAACAUGGAUGACAGCGCUUCAACAGAAUCUGUAACAGAUGAUGAAAUGGAGCUGUAUCUCCUCAGUCUGAAGAACACACAACAGUCAGGACUUAAAGAUGGCAUAUCUAUGGGAAAGAGGCACUCCAUAAGCAGAACACUGACAAUACCAUCACCCAUGCCUUCAAUUUCAGAAUUUAUGGAUGAUGACCAGCCAAAUGCUUUGCUAGAUGACCUGACAAAUGAGGAAAUUAUAGAACCAGAGAGAACCACUUUACCUCCUUUGGACGAAGAGGAGGAAGUCACUGAGCCGAAUUUGUUAUGGUGGAGAGAGUUCUUCUCCUCUGAUAAUAUGCCAAAACUGAUUGUGUACACCCUUUUGUUUGUUGUUUUUUAAUAACUGCAUACAUUUGUGAUUUCAUUGCAUGUUUUGGGCUCUACCUUCUUGCCUUGCAUUGGCUAUACUUUCAAGUGCAGGGAGAACCUUUAAAAGGCACUUGAUGCAACAAGACAAAAAAAAGACUAUUACUGGUUCGUAAAUUAUAUUUUUCCAGUUGUGGGCCAUUAUCUGUACGUCAUCUCUAUUGUUUGUUAGCGUACAUUGACUCUAAGGUCUCUUUCAGUACAACAAUUUAAAACAAAUUUGUAUAUCCAGCUUAUUUGCUAAUUGGGAAUGAUGUUUUUUGAUGGUGUUACAGCCAUCCUUUAGCAUAAUGUGUAUGUAAAACCUGUUUGUGUUAUCUUAUAACACUCAUUCUUAGUGACGAGUUAUUAAAUCUCCACACUUUCGCUGGGUGAUUCUGGUCAUUGACUGUGUAUCAGUACAAACACUGAUGUAUUUAAUAUAAAUGUGUGUAUACCCAUUUAAUAAAUUCAAAUAACUACGACAUGUAGUUUAAAAGUUUGCUUAAAACCCCAAAAUCAGAAAUGAGGCAAGAAUAUAUGUUGCUGCAAAUAUUUUUCCUGUGUCUCUGUGUAUAGUACUUGUAUCCUGCUG
ensembl:lncRNA